rnacentral:tRNA from 1 species
GUAAAUAUAGUUUUAACCAAAAUAUUAGAUUGUGAUUCUAAAGAUAGGAGUUAAAACCUCCUUAUUCACC